rnacentral:rRNA from 1 species
UACGUAGGGUGCAAGCGUUGUCCGGAAUUAUUGGGCGUAAAGAGCUCGUAGGCGGUCUGUCACGUCGGCUGUGAAAACCCGAGGCUCAACCUCGGGCCUGCAGUCGAUACGGGCAGGCUUGAGUUCGGUAGGGGAGACUGGAAUUCCUGGUGUAGCGGUGAAAUGCGCAGAUAUCAGGAGGAACACCGGUGGCGAAGGCGGGUCUCUGGGCCGAUACUGACGCUGAGGAGCGAAAGCGUGGGGAGCGAACAGG